ensembl:lncRNA
AGCUGUCGGAGCUGCUGGCUUCGGGCAGUCACCACCAGUACGUAUGGAUUAUUUAAGUCACAACCACCUCUUGCAGGAAAGGCGUCACCGGCACUGCUGCAGGGCUGGCCAGGCCGCCCCGGGACAGCACGUGUGUACGUAUACGUAAGUGUAUAUGCUGUGUGUGUGCGUGUGUGCUUCCAAAGGGAGGCUGUUUUGGGGUGGGGGUUACAAGGGGAUGCUGUGGCACAUCCACUGGUGACACCCGUGGGCAUCCCGGCCACCCACCCAGAGCUGCAGCUCACUCCCUGGUGGCACAGUCCCUCAUCCCCUGUCACUCUCAAGCAGCACAGGGACAUGACCUUGUGGGCAAUGAUGAUUAAACAAGUUUUACCAGCCCUCCUAAAAAUGCCAAGCAGGGCUGUAAUUACCCCCACCCUGAAUCAGAGGGGGCCCGACCCCACAAGUAUGCCCACAGCAGCCAGAGUGAAUCGUGGGGUCAGGACACAGGGAAAUGGAAAUCUGGGAGAGGAGUGGAGCUGGACCAUGGGAUCCUGGCACAUCAGUGAUGGGAGGGAAGGGGAGAAAGGAGCACUCCUCCAGAUCUGUUUCUUUCAGAAGCACAGAGGAUGAAUUCCUGCUGAGGUAGGAGCUGACACCGUAAUUCACGCUCAGCAGAGUCACGGGGCCAGUCCACAAGAAUUACUUGCAAAACUGGCUGGGAGUUAGGCAUCCGUGUUAGCUGGAAGUCAUUCUUUGCAGGUGAUGUCGGGAUCCAAGGGAGUGCGGGGGAGCACGUGCACAUGGAUGCACGAACAAUGUUUGUGUACCCACCAGCGGGGCAAACCCAGGGGACCUGACCUGGGCUGAUGAGAUGGAGGAAGAAGUGAUUUGGUGUAAUAAUAAACAAAAAAUGCCUCUUACAAUGGGUAUGUGAGGGAUGCAGCCCUUUUACUAAAAGGAAGUGAUGCCCUGCUCCAGGCAUGGACUCAGCACUGGGGUUUGCUGGGUAGAGAUGCCAUGCAGUGGUGGGAGGAGGAAGCAGAGCUCGGGAAAGCAAAAAACAGGCACCGGUGGAGGCCUGAUUCCCAAAUCUGUGACCUCCCACUAGAGGACGCAUAUGGGAUGGGCUUUCAAAUACCCUGACAACCCAAAUCUAGCUGGACCCGAGGUUUGGAGCUGUUUCUGCAAAGGCACCAUCUUAAAGGGAAUAUUUCUCCUGCUCCAGUAACCCACUUGAAGGCUGCAGCCAGCCCAGCCUAGCUGCCCUUGCUUGCCUAGCCUUGCAGGAGUUUCCCCAUGCACGCUGGGCUCUGCAGUUUUGCCUUGUGCUCUCUGCAGAUUACAUGUGGGACGCCCACCCUGACGAACUGUGAAGUAGUGCACCCCUGGCUGCUCUGAGCUCAUCCUUCCCAGGAGCACACUGGCAAUGCUGCCUGUGGCCUGGCUCCUUUGGGAAACAAAGCUAUUUUCUGAGUGUGUAGAAAACUUCAAGUGUAGUAUUUUUGUAGUAACUGUUUGGUCAGAAAUCCUUGUGCCAGAAGCCACGCUCAGCUCCUGCUGAACCACCUGAGGCACCACUUGGUAGGACAGGGCUGUUACACCCAGCCCGUCCAUGCGGUCAGAGCAAAAUCAUCUCUGCUGUCUGCCAGGCAGAUCAGAGCAGGCCCUGGGUCACCCCUCAUCCUUGAUUUUGGGGCUGUUUGGGGACCAAGCUGCUCAGGGGCAAAUGUUAUAGUGCCUCCUGCUCCAGGCUGGUUGAAAACUGCUGUGGGAUGACUUUUGUGAGGAAGGGUUGGCUGUUUUGCUUGUAAAUUAGGAACCAGCAGAGAGCUGCAAACACCAGCGUGAGCACUUCAACAGGAUGAACCAGGAGCAACACACUAAUUAUGAGAGAAAAACACCCAAAACCCUGUUCUGGGAGAACUUUGGAGAUGGACAAAGCUUCUGAAGGAGACAAACGGAGGGCUGGAGCCAAGCUGAGGGUGCCCCAUGGCAGUGGGACUGUGGCAGUGAUGUGGCUGGGGGUGGAUUGUUGCAAACUGUAUGUAAGUUCAUGAAAACUUUAGGGUGUGUAGGGGCAUUAAAGGUUUUUAUUUAAAGGCUGGACGUGGUGCUUGGGGACUAGUGGGUGACACUGGGGGCCGGGUGAUGGUUGGAGGACACCCAGCCUUGGUCUUGGGGAACACCUUUAGUGACUCUGUGGUUUGACUCUGCGGUUGCCCCGUCUGAGGGGCAGUGGAUUCCCACGACCAGACCACAAUAUCCCCACAGCUCUGCCUUCAGCCCCAUCAAACCCCCCAAAACCCCAAAAAACCCCAAACUGCCCCAUUUUGCCCCCCCACAGCCGCCAAGCGCUCCCAACCGCCCCCCCCAUAGCACGACACGCCGCAAAGCGACGACGAGCCGCCCCUCCCUCUCACACAAACUUACCGGGGGGGCGGGACGGGAGGAGGAGCCGACCAAUCAGAAGCCC